UUCUGCCACUUGGCAUUUUGUAAGCCAAAGUUUUUUUCCCUCUUGAUUUACAAGCUUUACAACAGUGAUACCGAAGAUCAGUCCAGUGCAGUCCAAGGUCCCAGCACUAGAUCAAGGUCAAGAGCCAACCAGCCCAGCAUACCCAAUAUAGAUAUAGGUGACACAGCCACUAGCCCGCCUCCUACAAACGAUCUCCAGAACACCAGUUAUCGCACUACCAACUCUCCAAACUCCAGAAUCUCUACGCCAUUCAGACGUGGGUCAGCUACAACUACAAUGAGGGGCGACAGCAGCUCUUUCCUACGCACUGACAACAAUCCUUCUAUCAACCAAAUAGUCACUGUUGGCAUUGGAUCUACUUCAACUACCACUUCUAUCUCAAGUGCUACUGCGUCCACUAGUCAGUCUGUCAGCCAACAUCCAAGACUGACUGCUAGUGUCACUCCAGUGACUGCUAGUGUCACAGUCUCUAGCUCCCAAUUUGGCCCCCCUUCUGACUAUGCCACAUAUGUAUCCUUGAUGAGAGAUCUGUCUGAUUUAUCGUCAGAUGAUGAGGACUUCAACUUGGCAAUAAUGGCUAGCCUUGAAACUGAACAAGCCCAAGCCACUCUAAGCCAAAAUUCAUCUGUUAAGGAGAUUCUCUUGGAGUUGGCCGAGAACAUCUCACCAAGUAUUCGUUUUAAAUUUAAUAUAAAUCGCUCGGCAGUGUUGGAUGGUGCCUUCCGAGGUUUCAAGCGGGCAACAUACAACCCCAAUGCCACUAUGAAUAUAAAAUUUUCAGAUGAUCUUGGGCGCAAUGAGGAGGCAGUCGAUUUUGGAGGACCAAAGAGAGAAUUUUUACGCCUGCUGAUGGAAACCUUGGCGAUGAGCCCUAUGUUUGAGGGGUCCCUUUCCAGUCAAAAUUUGGCACUUGACAUUCCAGGUAAUUUCUUGUAGUAUAAAGCUAUAUAAUUUGUAUUAUAAUGUCUUUAAAUGUAUAUAAUUUCAAUUAUGAUAAUAAUUCAAACAUAAUAGAUAAUAUAUUUUCACUGGUGACACUCAGAUAAAUUUAAGUCCAGCAAUCACACAUUAAUUCUAUAUGGGGUUACUUAACAGUUCGAUCAGUCUUAACUAUUCAUAUCUUUUCAACAACAUACUGAUUUUACAGCAAUCAGAGAGGACCGCUAUUUCCUUGCUGGAAGAGCAAUGGCAGUCAGUCUGGUACAUGGAGGUCCUCCACCCACCUUUCUGUCCAAAACACUGUAUGACUGCUUGGUUGGAGGCAGUCAUACAGCCAAGCCAGUGCUACAGGACAUUGCGGACACAGACAUCUACAAUCAAAUACAAAUGGUCAGUUGUAUCAUUGUAUAACAACAAUAACAACAAAAGUAGUCUAACAAUCCAAAUAUGGAUUGUUGAAAACAGACAAACCUUUGACCUUGUGUGCUGAUCUAGAUUAUGUUUCUCAACCCUGGUCCUUGGGGUACCUCUGACAGGACACUGUUUUAGAUGUUCCCUUUUUCCAAUACAUCUCAUUCAAAGGAAUGGUUAUCAGGCUUCUGCAGAGCUUGAUGUCAACACAUCCAUUUGAAUCAGGUGUGUUGGAGCAUGGGCACUGUUUUAGAGUACCUUUAUAUACACACAUACAUAUAUAUAGGCCUAGGCUAUAUACUGGAUUCAUACUGUAAUAGUGUUACUAUAACAAAGUGGUGUAGAUGCUUCUGUCAGGUGGCUGCUGCUGUCGGUGCUAAAAUAGCAUGUUCAGAUGGAUAGUGACUCACAAAUAGUAGUGGAACGAAUCACAAAACUCACUGUUUGGAUCGGAGCGUUGUCCAGUUACGCAUCUGAUAAUUUUUCGGCUCAGCAAAACAAAAAGACACAAACUGUAUCUUUGCGUUCCAUUUAUUUGAAUAUUAUCAAUAAUAAUGAAUAAUAAAUAGUUUGCGGGAGUUCAAGUUUUUCCGCUCCUCAUCUAUCCAUGAGUGUCUGCUCUUUCUUUUUAUUUUGCCUACUUGUUGUUUGCAAUCCAUCCCGGAUUGAUUCAUGGAGAUUACAUUUCCCUGGUGCAUAAACAUGACAUUUUUGGGCGACUCGACUUGCUCACGCUGUCGGUCGGUUCACAAAAAUUACAUGCAUGUAUGGCCUAUUACAGUAUAGUCGCAUCCAAUUUGCGCUUGUUAGCCUUGAUGUCAAAUUUACAUUUAGCACUUCGGAGUGAAACAGCACGCAUCUGUGUAGUCUGUAUCUUUUCACUGCAACUUUGCAUCAAAAUUGAGAUAAUUACGUGGAUUCGCCUUGACUGUUAAUGAUAAGCAAAUGUUGCCCCUAUCGCCCAACCAUAGGAUGUAUGCAUCAUGCUUUGUUUAAAAAUGAAUAUCUAUACAACUUUUCAUUUCAGGUGUCAGAAAGUUCUACUUACGAGGACCUCCUUGCUGCAACUCAGAAGAUUCAAGAUUAUUUGGCCAAUGCCGGAUGUCUUCGACCAUUAAGGAACAUUGAGGACAAGGAACAGCUUGUUCAUGAUAUCCUCAUGUUUCAAGUUGUGCACCGGGUUCAAGCCCCAUUCCAAAGGUUUCAAGAGGGUCUUAAAACUCUUGGCGUGUUGGAGAAGCUCCAGAAGCAUCCGGAAAGUUUCCGUCCUCUGUUUUGCCAUCAGGAGUCCAGACCCACUGCCGAAGCAAUGGAAGAUCUGUUCAGCAUCCUUCUUUCUGAUCAAGGAAGCAACAGGAGAAGAGCAGAGGAAGCUGUGGUAUCCUUCUGGAGAGAUUAUUUGCAAGAUGCAGAGGAUGAAGAGGGUCCUUCCAAACUUGAGAAAAUUCUUAGUUUUGCCACUGGAGCGACUGCAGUUCCACCCAUAGGCUUCAACCCCACACCAUCUAUUGGUUUCCUACACGAGGAGGAGUAUGGAGAUACGGCUGUAUCAAGCCUCCCUAUCGCCAACACAUGUAUCAACUGCCUGAAGCUGCCUUUGCACAACUCUUAUGCUGUUUUUAAAGACAAGAUGGACUUUGCCUUGGCCAACACACAGGGGUUUGGCAGAGCCUAAGAGGCUUAGUGUUUUAUAGUAGUUCUGUGAAAGUACAUUUUUUUUGUUUCAUAUUACUUUGUUCAUUGGUUUAUGGAGAUGUGCACAUUAAAACACAGCUUGUGAUUGGCUUUUAAAAAUGUAUUUUAGCAUUACUCGUAAGAGUAAUGUCAGAUUGCACUCUGAUUCUAUACAUUCAAUUUUGUAGUUUGUGGCCUGGUUAUCCUAUAGUUGUCUUUCUUUUGGGAUAUUUGAAGAGAGCCUUUAGAUCUGUGAAAUUUAAGGUUUUGCCAUCAUCCAGACAGUUGAAAUAUUGGAACGUUUUUAUUCCAGUUGUGAUAUCAUUGUACAUGCAGUCCAUGUUAGAACCAACAAAAGAAAAACAAUGUGUUGCUUGCAGGUCAUUACAAUUUAAAAUGUUUUCUGAUUGGUUGAAAAAAAAAGAAACAGCAGCAUCCAACACAAACUAAUAAGCACAGUUUUAAGUCACCUUUUAUGUUUAAAGCAUCACAUAAUCAUAGGUUAUUUAAAUUACAGUGAGUAAACCAGUACAUUGAGAACUACAAUAUUCUAUGUUUCUCAUUCUCAGUUUGAGUAUACACUGUAAGUAUUGUAAUGUGAGUUUAAUGAAAACACCCACAUUUAUAUUUUUGUCGAAAGAUGAAGGCAGAUUAUGUAUGGUGUUGCUGAAAAAAAUACAAAAGAGAACAAAAUAAAUUGAUUCCAAAGUUUCCAUCAUUCUGUAGUGGAUCAAAAUGUUGCUGUAUU